UACGGGAGGCAGCAGUAGGGAAUUUUCCGCAAUGGGCGCAAGCCUGACGGAGCAAUACCGCGUGAGGGAUGAAUGCCUAUGGGUUGUAAACCUCUUUUUUCAGGGAGGAACACAAUGACGUGUACCUGAAGAAUAAGCAUCGGCUAACUUC
rnacentral:rRNA from 1 species